CUCCGUCUCUCUUCUCUUCCCCCAUCAUUACACUUCCUUCAAUCUCGCCGCAUUAAUUAUCAUAUGUUAUCUUUCUCUCUUUCACGUACACAUGCAUGAUUGCUUGAGAGGCCGAUGGGAGCAGAUCUAUCACCGUCUCCACAAUAUAAAUAGCUAGCCAUUGGCCAUACAUGCAUCCCAAUCCACUCAAACUGAGGCAUGCCCAAUUAAUCUCCUUCUGCAUCGGUUGUUCAUCGUCAUCAAGUAUUCAAGUUUAAGUCUUCUAGCUAGCUAUCUGUCGGUCGAGGCGGGCGAUGGAGAGGCUGAACACGAAGCUGUUCUGGCAGAACUGCUGCAUAAUGAAAGACAACGAGAGGCUGAGGAACAAGGCACAGCGACUCAACCAAGAGAACCAGCUGCUGCUGUCUCAGCUAAGGAAGAAGUUGGCAAAAGCCAACGCCAAACCUGAUCUCAACGCCUUUCCCGUCUCCAAGUACAAUAACAACGGCGAUAAUGCAGCACCCAACUAGAUUAAUUAAUGCAUGCUUUGGAACUUCGAAGACCUCUUAUUAGCUAUCAUGAAUAAGUAAGAAUAAAAUUGCAUAUAUAUUUCCCAA